rnacentral:rRNA from 1 species
GAUGAACGCUGGCGGCGUGCCUAAUACAUGCAAGUCGAGCGAACAGACGAGGAGCUUGCUCCUCUGACGUUAGCGGCGGACGGGUGAGUAACACGUGGAUAACCUACCUAUAAGACUGGGAUAACUUCGGGAAACCGGAGCUAAUACCGGAUAAUAUAUUGAACCGCAUGGUUCAAUAGUGAAAUACGGUUUUGCUGUCACUUAUAGAUGGAUCCGCGCCGCAUUAGCUAGUUGGUAAGGUAACGGCUUACCAAGGCAACGAUGCGUAGCCGACCUGAGAGGGUGAUCGGCCACACUGGAACUGAGACACGGUCCAGACUCCUACGGGAGGCAGCAGUAGGGAAUCUUCCGCAAUGGGCGAAAGCGUGACGGAGCAACGCCGCGUGAGUGAUGAAGGUCUUCGGAUCGUAAAACUCUGUUAUUAGGGAAGAACAAAUGUGUAAGUAACUAUGCACGUCUUGACGGUACCUAAUCAGAAAGCCACGGCUAACUACGUG